rnacentral:rRNA from 1 species
UACAGAGGUGGCAAGCGUUGUUCGGAAUUACUGGGCGUAAAGGGCGCGUAGGCGGCCAUCUAAGUCAGACGUGAAAUCCCCCGGCUUAACCUGGGAACUGCGUCUGAUACUGGACGGCUUGAGUAUGGGAGAGGGAUGUAGAAUUCCAGGUGUAGCGGUGAAAUGCGUAGAUAUCUGGAGGAAUACCAGAGGCGUAAGCGGCUUUCUAGGCGAUUACUGACGCUGAGGCGCGAAAGCGUGGGGAGCAAACCGG